UGCUCCCUGAUUUAGCGGCGGACGGGUGAGUAAUGCCUAGGAAUCUGCCUGGUAGUGGGGGAUAACGUCCGGAAACGGGCGCUAAUACCGCAUACGUCCUACGGGAGAAAGCAGGGGACCUUCGGGCCUUGCGCUAUCAGAUGAGCCUAGGUCGGAUUAGCUAGUUGGUGAGGUAAUGGCUCACCAAGGCGACGAUCCGUAACUGGUCUGAGAGGAUGAUCAGUCACACUGGAACUGAGACACGGUCCAGACUCCUACGGGAGGCAGCAGUGGGGAAUAUUGGACAAUGGGCGAAAGCCUGAUCCAGCCAUGCCGCGUGUGUGAAGAAGGUCUUCGGAUUGUAAAGCACUUUAAGUUGGGAGGAAGGGCAGUAAGCUAAUACCUUGCUGUUUUGACGUUACCGACAGAAUAAGCACCGGCUAACUUCGUGCCAGCAGCCGCGGUAAUACGAAGGGUGCAAGCGUUAAUCGGAAUUACUGGGCGUAAAGCGCGCGUAGGUGGUUCGUUAAGUUGGAUGUGAAAGCCCCGGGCUCAACCUGGGAACUGCAUCCAAAACUGGCGAGCUAGAGUACGGUAGAGGGUGGUGGAAUUUCCUGUGUAGCGGUGAAAUGCGUAGAUAUAGGAAGGAACACCAGUGGCGAAGGCGACCACCUGGACUGAUACUGACACUGAGGUGCGAAAGC
rnacentral:rRNA from 1 species